GGACCACCUGCAGAUGCCUAUCAUUAGUGGGAGCAACCAACGAUGCCUCAAUAUUAUGGCAUAUGGAGAGAAAGAUUCAGUGUGUUCUUAGAAUUUUAGAACAAACCGUACAGAACUGAAACUAGAAAAGCAUUGAUUAGGGUGUGUUUCCAUUUAAACAUUUUCCUGAAAAGUCCCUUCAUACCAAACACACCCUAAGCCAGAAACAAUUGCCUUGCUUGCUUAUGACUUAUAAUCCAACAACACUAGAUCAAAUUUCAAAUGCUCUAAUGAAGCAUAUUUCCAAUUUCUUACUUCUUAACCUGGUAUAGCAAGUAGUGCAGUUAAAAAAAGAAAAUAUGAAACGUACCAACUCCAAGAAAGAGGUACUUUGCAAUAAGUAUAGGCUUAAUUUACACAUUGCAUAAACAUUUUCACUCGCUAUGUUGUUUGCCAGAUUAGUAUCUUUAUGUACAUUGACCGAUAUAGUUUUUUUUCAAACUCAUUUUGCUAGUUUCACAAAAUAUCCAAAAGUGAGUUCAGUGUUGUAGUUUGCACUUGAUGAAGCAUCUGACUUAAGUUUCUUUUUGUGUUGCCAAUGCAAGCGAUCAGGCUAACUCACAGAUGUUUAAUAGCAUAAGGUCCUAUUUGUGUUGACAAGAUACAUAUUAAAAUGCUGAACUUACACAAUGGAGCAACCAGUGCUUCUACGCCUUUUCUUCCUCGCCACCUCCUUCCUCCUAGGAGGUUGAAGCACAACCUUGAUUGCGGUGUCAAAAACAGCUUUCACAUUCUGACACAUACAUAAAACCCAAUGCAAGCGAUCAGGCUAACUCACAGAUGUUUAAUAGCAUAAGGUCCUAUUUGUGUUGCCAAUGCAAGCGAUCAGGCUAACUCACAGAUGUUUAAUAGCAUAAGGUCCUAUUUGUGUUGACAAGAUACAUAUUAAAAUGCUGAACUUACACAAUGGAGCAACC
rnacentral:lncRNA from 1 species